rnacentral:rRNA from 1 species
UAUUUAAGUUGUUGCAGUUAAAAAGCUCGUAGUUGGAUUUCGGUUGAGAACGGCCGGUCCGCCGUUUGGUGUGCACUGGCUGGUUUCAACUUCCUGUAGAGGACGCGCUCUGGCUUCACGGCUGGACGCGGAGUCUACGUGGUUACUUUGAAAAAAUUAGAGUGUUCAAAGCGGGCUUACGCUUGAAUAUUUCAGCAUGGAAUAACACUAUAGGACUCCUGUCCUAUUUCGUUGGUCUCGGGACGGGAGUAACGAUUAAGAGGAACAGUUGGGGGCAUUCGUAUUUCAUUGUCAGAGGUGAAAUUCUUGGAUUUAUGAAAGACGAACUUCUGCGAAAGCAUUUGCCAAGGAUGUUUUCAUUAAUCAAGAACGAAAGUUGGGGGCUCGAAGAUGAUUAGAUACCAUCCUAGUCUCAACCAUAAACGAUGCCGACUAGGGAUUGCAGGAUGUUAAUUGAUGACUCCUGCAGCACCUUAUGAGAAAUCAAAGUUUUUGGGUUCCGGGGGGAGUAUGGUCGCAAGGCUGAAACUUAAAGGAAUUGACGGAAG